rnacentral:rRNA from 1 species
AACGCUGGCGGCGUGCUUAACACAUGCAAGUCGAACGGAAAGGCCCUGCUUUUGUGGGGUGCUCGAGUGGCGAACGGGUGAGUAACACGUGAGUAACCUGCCCUUGACUUUGGGAUAACUUCAGGAAACUGGGGCUAAUACCGGAUAGGAGCUCCUGCUGCAUGGUGGGGGUUGGAAAGUUUCGGCGGUUGGGGAUGGACUCGCGGCUUAUCAGCUUGUUGGUGGGGUAGUGGCUUACCAAGGCUUUGACGGGUAGCCGGCCUGAGAGGGUGACCGGCCACAUUGGGACUGAGAUACGGCCCAGACUCCUACGGGAGGCAGCAGUGGGGAAUAUUGCACAAUGGGCGGAAGCCUGAUGCAGCAACGCCGCGUGCGGGAUGACGGCCUUCGGGUUGUAAACCGCUUUCGCCUGUGACGAAGCGUGAGUGACGGUAAUGGGUAAAGAAGCACCGGCUAACUACGUGCCAGCAGCCGCGGUGAUACGUAGGGUGCGAGCGUUGUCCGGAUUUAUUGGGCGUAAAGGGCUCGUAGGUGGUUGAUCGCGUCGGAAGUGUAAUCUUGGGGCUUAACCCUGAGCGUGCUUUCGAUACGGGUUGACUUGAGGAAGGUAGGGGAGAAUGGAAUUCCUGGUGGAGCGGUGGAAUGCGCAGAUAUCAGGAGGAACACCAGUGGCGAAGGCGGUUCUCUGGGCCUUUCCUGACGCUGAGGAGCGAAAGCGUGGGGAGCGAACAGGCUUAGAUACCCUGGUAGUCCACGCUGUAAACGGUGGGUACUAGGUGUGGGGUCCAUUCCACGGGUUCCGUGCCGUAGCUAACGCUUUAAGUACCCCGCCUGGGGAGUACGGCCGCAAGGCUAAAACUCAAAGGAAUUGACGGGGCCCCGCACAAGCGGCGGAGCAUGCGGAUUAAUUCGAUGCAACGCGUAGAACCUUACCUGGGUUUGACAUGGAUCGGGAGUGCUCU